rnacentral:lncRNA from 1 species
AGAUGGACAAUUUUUCCAAACUUCGUCCUGCUGAACAUGUGACCAACACCCUCUCCUCUCCUCACCCCCGAAAAAGUGACAGAAUAUGCAGAUGCUGACACCAGGAGACGCGGAGCUCAAUUUCCUUUCUACAGGAAGGGGUACAAUGAGCUGAAGAUGGCUGGAAGUGAAAAAGCAACUGUAGAGGGAUCGAACUCGGGUCCUUGCGCAUUCGAGGCAGGCGGCGGAACCAUUGAGCUAAAUCCCUGGCCCAGCACUGAUUCUUUCUGGCAUUGUGGAGAAGGAUCAGAAGGUAAGUAUCCCCCUUUUUACAACAACCCGGCCAUCUACCCAAACCCUUGCCUCCAGACCUGGGUCAUCCCCCACCCUAGGUGCCUCCUUGCUUCGAAGGUCCCCAAGAUA